CCUACGGGAGGCAGCAGUGAGGAAUAUUGGUCAAUGGACGAGAGUCUGAACCAGCCAAGUAGCGUGAAGGAUGACUGCCCUAUGGGUUGUAAACUUCUUUUAUAAAGGAAUAAAACGAGGCACGUGUGCCUUUUUGCAUGUACUUUAUGAAUAAGGAUCGGCUAACUCCGUGCCAGCAGCCGCGGUAAUACGGAGGAUCCGAGCGUUAUCCGGAUUUAUUGGGUUUAAAGGGAGCGUAGAUGGGUUGUUAAGUCAGUUGUGAAAGGUUGCGGCUCAACCGUAAAAUUGCAAUUGAUACUGGCAGUCUUGAGUACAGUUGAGGUAGGCGGAAUGCGUGGUGUAGCGGUGAAAUGCUUAGAUAUCACGAAGAACCCCGAUUGCGAAGGCAGCUUACUAAACUGUGACUGACAUUGAUGCUCGAAAGUGUGGGUAUCAAACAGGAUUAGAUACCCGUGUAGUC
rnacentral:rRNA from 1 species